CCUGUCCGCCCUUUUUCUUUUUGAAAUGGUCCCUUGAUCAACAGGUUUGGCGGCAGGACAGCUAAUGGUCAGAAGAGUUUUGGGAAAAUUUUGGACAUCGGAACCGUAUUAUAUUACAUGGGAUUGAAUCUCCCCCUUCUUCUUGGUUCAAGGGAAACUGAAACAAAAUAGGAAACAAUGUUGCAAGAUAUCUAGGACUGGAUAUCUCAACGGGAUGGAAUAAGUGAAAGGAAGCAGGGAAGAUUAGCAUUAAUCAUGGAAUUCCAUAUGGAUGGUUCUAGUUAAACAUGGGGUGCAUCGGACACAGUCUCGCUUUUGGUCUUAGUUGUUAUAGCCUUAUAGGUGUUUUCUGAUUGCGCUACUACUCUUGUAGUUGUGACCCUCUCACAUUUUGUUCAGCUUAGUCAGGGACUAUUAUGCAGUAGUUGUUCUAAUGCUUAACCAUGAAAAACCUCAGUGGUUUUAUAUAAGCAGCUACUUACUACAUGCUACAUUUUGCUGUAAAGUACUAAAGGGAUUUGCCCUUACCACAUUAAUAGCGGUGUAACAUCCAUUCUGUCGUAGGAGCACAUACUCUUAUUUAUUUCUGCGAGCAUUAGAAGUUCCUUUUUAUC